rnacentral:rRNA from 1 species
UAUCUAUGUGAUGACGGAGGGUCUUACCGAGUUUACAACUCCCAAACCCAAUGUGAACGUUACCAAACUGUUGCCUCGGCGGGGUCACGCCCCGGGUGCGUCGCAGCCCCGGAACCAGGCGCCCGCCGGAGGAACCAACCAAACUCUUUCUGUAGUCCCCUCGCGGACGUAUUUCUUACAGCUCUGAGCAAAAAUUCAAAAUGAAUCAAAACUUUCAACAACGGAUCUCUUGGUUCUGGCAUCGAUGAAGAACGCAGCGAAAUGCGAUAAGUAAUGUGAAUUGCAGAAUUCAGUGAAUCAUCGAAUCUUUGAACGCACAUUGCGCCCGCCAGUAUUCUGGCGGGCAUGCCUGUCCGAGCGUCAUUUCAACCCUCGAACCCCUCCGGGGGAUCGGCGUUGGGGAUCGGGACCCCUCACACGGGUGCCGGCCCCUAAAUACAGUGGCGGUCUCGCCGCAGCCUCUCCUGCGCAGUAGUUUGCACAACUCGCACCGGGAGCGCGGCGCGUCCACGUCCGUAAAACACCCAACUUUCUGAAAUGUUGACCUCGGAUCAGGUAGGAAUACCCGCUGAACUUAAGCAUAUCAAUAAGGCGGGAAGAAA